AUGAGGCGGUGGACAAAGACGCCGUCUCGUCUCGUCUCAUCUCUGCAGGUAGAGCGGCCAGAGGAGCAGACCAACAUCCCUCUUUACCUUCCACGCAACACCAACAUGGGUGCUAGAGCUGCACUUAAUUUGCUAACAUCAUCGCCUUGUUCUUCCUGGCAACGUAAGGACCAUCAACUUCCAUUUGCAACUCUAGCACAAGUUAAGAGUGAGGAUGGUGAGACAACCGACCGCCGCAAGGUUCUACAAAUGGUUCUCAGAGGUUUGAUGGCGAUGACAUGGCGCAGUCGAUCAAGUUUUGGUCAAUGUUUCAUGGCUCAAUCAACGAAUGGUGUUAAAACUGCUAAUCCUGAAAGCAAGAUUUUGAAUGAUUCCUACCUCGAGCUUCCGCUUCACUUGUUUCUUGGUUGUUCAAGUAUGCUUGGUGGUUCUUCAUCGAGGGUUGAGAUGGACCAUGCACUGGUUACAUCUUCUCCUAUCUCCAUGUUCUUAAUUUUCUUGUGCAAUGAGAGCUGUAUUAAGACAACAGUUUGUGCAGUCCAUGCUUUUAACAUUGAAAAUGAGAGGUGA
rnacentral:rRNA from 1 species